rnacentral:lncRNA from 1 species
AUUACUUAUUUUAGAAGAGCAGUUGGUGUUAUUCAUGGAAAUAAUAGACAAUCUAGAAUAAAAGAAUUUAAGACUAAGUGUAUCCAGUAUAACCUUGCACCUAGAUUCAUGCCAGACGAAAUUGUUACUUGAUGGAAUUAUACAUAUAUAUUUUUAAAAUGUUGCUACAAAUAUAGAUUUUCCAAUAACUGAAGUUGCUA